CAGGUUACAGAAAGGUUAUCAUGAACAAUGGGACUUGGCUUUUCAAAGAGGGUGGCUGGUGAAACCGUACUUCCCAGAUGAAAAUGUUAGCAAGCAGUGGAAGAACUGAAAUGUACCUAGCUGAAAUGGAUACACGGGCAUAAAGGCACAUUACUCAGACCAAACGUCAGUGAAGCAAUAACCAGGCCCGAAGAGAAGGCCCGGACGCUUGGGAGACGAGGCUGCUUUGAGCUUCCGGCAGUGAUGGGGCUGGUCAAGGAGCGUUCGCUCUUUUACAACAAAAAUCCAACUCCUGCAAUGCUGCCAAGACUUGUGGGGCAAUUGUGUCCGCCUCGAAAGGAUGCCCUGUAAAGGAAAAGAAGCUUUUAACGGAACAUGCUCAGGGCAGCCGGCCUGGAUGACACCUGAGCCUCAAGCAUGGUCUAUAACAGGAGACCUCUGCCGCCCUUCAGCCCCGAGCUCAUUGGCUACAAGGCUGAGGCUGAGAGUUGCAGACACUUCUGUCCUGACAUGGGAAAACAGCCACAUCCACCAGCUCUCAGGGAGCCCUGGCCAUGACAAUAUCAUCCAUGCAUCAAGCCGCAAAAGAUGCUAUGAAGCUCUGUAUUCCAGCCUUCUCUUAUCCAUUCUUUUCCCAAUAGCUCCCAACAUUCAAACUUCCAGUUUAAGGGCAAAUUUUCUAUGCCUCGUACCAUUGACACUCAACAGGCAGAGUUUCGGUAGCGUAACAGGCUAGCUAAGUGUAUGGUGUCUCACCUCUAGUAGCCUGCCCACAAAGUGGAUAAAAGCCCACUACUGCUACUAGCCACCAGAAUUAGUGCUUUAGCUAAAGUGGGAAAGGCCUGUGCUGGAGCCCCUACAGAUCUACCAACGGUGGUGCUAUUACAUUAGUAUCAUGCUAUAGCACAGACCAGCUUGACCACUAAGACACAAUAGCACUAGAAGAAAAAUACUUAUAAAAAAUAAGGUAAGUGCCUUGAAGUUCUUAUGCAUUCUAGACUCAGGCUCCUUUAAGGGUUUUAUUCUGCAAGCUGAUGAGCACCCGCUGAAGGCCACUGACCACCCCGAGCUCCCUUUGGCUUUGGUGAGUGUUGAGAGCACUCAGACCCAGAUCCCCCAAGGUAUUUAGGUGAGCAUUUCAAAGGCCUCACCAUCUGUCUGAAAUGGGGCUGAAGACAGGGAUGUAUGUUUAACCUCUCAAUAAUAGUUGUAAAUGGCAAUAAAGAAAGAGAUGCCUGUAUUGCAACUUCCGGUUUGACAGCUAAAAUAAGGUCAUGCGUUUACUGCUGAGAACCAGCAGACUCAACUCCUUAAAGAUACAAGAUUGGCUCAGCUUUGCAGUUGCCUUGCCUAUGAAUAGAUGAGAUCCCUGCUGUCCCAGUGAGUAAUUCUGACUUCCUCCCUUUGCCUUGCAGAGCUGAGUCACAGGCAUUCUGCACUCCAGUCAUGCAUUACUUACAUGGUCUGAAAGGAAACUUUAACACAUCCAAUGAAUCAUCCGGGAUUGGAUCAUUUUUAAAGUUAUUCCAUUGGUAUUUCCCUUCUAUUGUAGCACAUGUGCCAACACCUAAAACUUCGGCUAAUCCGGACUCCUAAAUGCAUUGAGUUGUUGACAUAUACAGCUACUAAUAAAAUAAUUU